rnacentral:rRNA from 1 species
AGCAGCCGCGGUAAUUCCAGCUCCAAUAGCGUAUAUUAAAGUUGUUGCAGUUAAAAAGCUCGUAGUUGAAUUUCGGGAUCAGUACGCUGGUCGUGCCUUCGGUAUGCACUGGUUUCACUGAUUCCUCCCUUCUGAAGAACCGUAAUGCCAUUCAGUUGGUGUGGCGGGGAAUCAGGAUUGUUACUUUGAAAAAUUAGAGUGUUUAAAGCAGGCUCGCGCUUGAAUACAUUAGCAUGGAAUAAUGAAAUAGGACGUUUGAUCCUAUUUUGUUGGUUUCUAGGAUUGACGUAAUGAUUAAUAGGGAUAGUUGGGGGCAUUAGUAUUCAAUUGUCAGAGGUGAAAUUCUUGGAUUUAUUGAAGACUAACUACUGCGAAAGCAUUUGCCAAGGAUGUUUUCAUUAAUCAAGAACGAAAGUUAGGGGAUCGAAGACGAUCAGAUACCGUCGUAGUCUUAACCAUAAACUAUGCCGACUAGGGAUCGGAUGAUGUUAAUUUUUAUGUACUCAUUCGGCGUACCCG